CUGUCCGAGUUGUAAUCUAGAGAAGCGUCUUCCGCGCUGGACCGUGUACAAGUCUCCUGGAAAGGGAGCGUCAUAGAGGGUGAGAAUCCCGUCUUUGACACGGACGCCCAGUGCUAUGUGAUGCGCUCUCGACGAGUCGAGUUGUUUGGGAAUGCAGCUCAAAUAGGGUGGUAAAUUCCAUCUAAAGCUAAAUAUAGGCGAGAGACCGAUAGCGAACAAGUACCGUGAGGGAAAGACGAAAAGAACUUUGGAAAGAGAGUUAAACAGUACGUGAAAUUGCUGAAAGGGAAACGCUUGAUGUCAGUCGCGUCGGCCGGGGAUCAACCUUGCUUCAUCGCUCGGUGCACUUCCUGGUCGAUGGGUCAGCAUCAGUUUCGUGCUCGCCGUACAAGGGCGGAGGGAACGUGGCACUCUUCGGAGUGUGUUAUAGCCCUUCGUCGUAUGCGGCGGUCGGGACUGAGGAACUCGGCACGGGCUUCGGCCUUGUGCUUAGGAUGCUGGCAUAAUGGCCUUAAGCGACCCGUCUUGAAACACGGACCAAGGAGUCUAACUUGCCUGCGAGUGUUUGGGUGAAUAAACUCGGGCGCGUAAUGAAAGUGAAAGUUGGGACCUCUGUCGUGGAGGGCACCGACGCCCGGACCCGAGUCUUUGACGAAGGAUCCGCGGUAGAGCAUGCAUGUUGGGACCCGAAAGAUGGUGAACUAUGCCUGAAUAGGGUGAAGCCAGAGGAAACUCUGGUGGAGGCUCGUAGCGAUUCUGACGUGCAAAUCGAUCGUCGAAUUUGGGUAUAGGGCGAAAG
rnacentral:rRNA from 1 species